rnacentral:lncRNA from 1 species
CCAGAGUGGCUUUCCUCUCUCAACAUAGGAAGCUGCUAAGAACUGCAACAGGGCAGAGACAGAGAGAGACAGAGAGAGAGAGAGAGAGAGAGAGAGAGAGAGAGAGAGAGAGAGAGAGACAGAGAGAGAGACAGAGAGAGAGACAGAGAGAGAGACAGAGAGAGAGAGAGACAGAGAGAGAGAGAGAGAGAGAGAGAGAGAGAAAGGAGGAGCUGUCCCUUCCGAAGACAGCAGGGUUGCAGAGGCCGCACAAAUGCUACUGUGAGUUAUUUCGGGACCAGCAAUGAAACACCGAGCCAGUCUUUGCUCUCUGAGCCAGCCACACCAGCGCGGUUCGACUUUUGACAUCUUUUCCCUGUGACGAGAAACGGCUGGCUCUUUCAGCAGUUAUAGGGGAAAGGGCCUGCUAACCAAAGGGAAGGAAACCCACACCACAGACCCUACAGGAAGGAAGGCCUGCGCCUGGAAACUCACAGGGUGUCUCUAAAGGCAAAGCACCAGGCUCCAGCGUCAGCAGAAAUACGAGUUGGAAAGACCCAGACCCAGGCUGUUGGAAGGGAAGGCACCCUCCAAUCCCCAAAGCAGGCCCCUCUUGGCAAGGUCGAGCAGUGGCUGUGCAG